rnacentral:rRNA from 1 species
AUUGAACGCUGGCGGCAGGCCUAACACAUGCAAGUCGAGCGGAUGAAGGGAGCUUGCUCCUGGAUUCAGCGGCGGACGGGUGAGUAAUGCCUAGGAAUCUGCCUGGUAGUGGGGGAUAACGUCCGGAAACGGGCGCUUAUACCGCAUACGUCCUGAGGGAGAAAGUGGGGGAUCUUCGGACCUCACGCUAUCAGAUGAGCCUAGGUCGGAUUAGCUAGUUGGUGGGGUAAAGGCCUACCAAGGCGACGAUCCGUAACUGGUCUGAGAGGAUGAUCAGUCACACUGGAACAGAGACACGGUCCAGACUCCUACGGGAGGCAGCAGUGGGGAAUAUUGGACAAUGGGCGAAAGCCUGAUCCAGCCAUGCCGCGUGUGUGAAGAAGGUCUUCGGAUUGUAAAGCACUUUAAGUUGGGAGGAAGGGCAGUAAGUUAAUACCUUGCUGUUUUGACGUUACCAACAGAAUAAGCACCGGCUAACUUCGUG